rnacentral:rRNA from 1 species
UAGGGAAUAUUGGACAAUGGGGGCAACCCUGAUCCAGCCAUGCCGCGUGAGUGAAGAAGGCCCUCGGGUUGUAAAGCUCUUUUGUCCGGAAAGAAAAGCAUUCGGUGAAUACCCGGAUGUUCUGACGGUACCGGAAGAAUAAGCACCGGCUAACUUCGUGCCAGCAGCCGCGGUAAUACGAAGGGUGCAAGCGUUACUCGGAAUUACUGGGCGUAAAGCGUGCGUAGGUGGUUGUUUAAGUCUGAUGUGAAAGCCCUGGGCUCAACCUGGGAAUGGCAUUGGAAACUGGGCAGCUAGAGUGCGGUAGAGGGUAGUGGAAUUCGCGGUGUAGCAGUGAAAUGCGUAGAGAU